rnacentral:tRNA from 1 species
GGCGCCGUGGCCAAGUGGUAAGGCAAGAGUCUGCAAAACUCUGAUCGGCGGUCCGAAUCCGCCCGGCGCCU